GACGAACGCUGGCGGCGUGGAUUAGGCAUGCAAGUCGAACGGUAUCAUCCUUUCGGGGGUGAGAGAGUGGCGAACUGGUGAGUAACACGUAGGUUAUCUACCCUCAAGACGGGGACAACCCAGGGAAACUUGGGCUAAUACCGGAUGUGAGCAACUUUUUAGUUGUUUGAAAGGUGGCGUAAGCUGUCGCUUGGGGAUGAGCCUGCGUCCUAUUAGUUAGUUGGUGAGGUAACGGCUCACCUAGGCAAUGAUAGGUAGGCGGCCUUAACGGGUGGUCGCCCACACUGGGAUUGAGAUACGGCCCAGACUCCUACGGGAGGCAGCAGUCGAGAAUAGUCUACAAUGGUCGGAAGACUGAUAGUGCGACGCCGCGUGAACGAUGAAUCCCUUCGGGGUGUAAAGUUCUUUUAUAUGUGAGCAGUGCUUCUUAUAUUAACAGUAUGGGGAGAGAGAUAUUAGCAUAUGAAUAAGCAACGGCUAACUCCGUGCCCAGCAGCCGCGGUAAACUCGU
rnacentral:rRNA from 1 species